rnacentral:rRNA from 1 species
AUGGAACAUGUAGCAGAGAUCUUUAGCCCAGCAUUGAUUACCCUUUGUAUGCAAUACAGAAACUAUCGAUUAGAACUUCCAGAACAAAGCUUUGAUCCAACAUUCUUGGUCACACUUGCUGGAGGAUCAACAAAAUUAUGUUCACUGGGUGUCGCUGCCCUCUCCCAUCUCUUUGCAGGAAACUUCUUGUUCGGAAAUCAUCUGGUGGCCUUUGACGGACUAGCCGAGGAGGAGAGAAUGAAACGACAGGUUGAUGAGCAGCAGAAGGAGUUGCAUCAGCAAGAGCCCGCUCAUCUGCCGGUCCAGUAUUGUCCCUUUGGACAUGGAACCACAGUCCAUCCUUUGGUGCGCCUGACCCUGACAGUCAUCAAAAUGAAAUUCUAA